AGUGAACGCUGGCGGUAGGCCUAACACAUGCAAGUCGAACGGCAGCACAGUAAGAGCUUGCUCUUACGGGUGGCGAGUGGCGGACGGGUGAGGAAUACAUCGGAAUCUACUUUUUCGUGGGGGAUAACGUAGGGAAACUUACGCUAAUACCGCAUACGACCUACGGGUGAAAGCAGGGGAUCUUCGGACCUUGCGCGAUUGAAUGAGCCGAUGUCGGAUUAGCUAGUUGGCGGGGUAAAGGCCCACCAAGGCGACGAUCCGUAGCUGGUCUGAGAGGAUGAUCAGCCACACUGGAAGUGAGACACGGUCCAGACUCCUACGGGAGGCAGCAGUGGGGAAUAUUGGACAAUGGGGGCAAGCCUGAUCCAGCCAGACCGCGUGGGUGAAGAAGGCCUUCGGGUUGUAAAGCCCUUUUGUUGGGAAAGAAAAGCAGCAGGUUAAUACCCCGCUGUUCUGACGGUACCCAAAGAAUAAGCACCGGCUAACUUCGUG
rnacentral:rRNA from 1 species